CUUUCCCGACUCCCUGGGAGUCCACCUUCAGUGAAUAGGGCUCUCUCCACCAAUCACAGGCGUCCUUUCAUUUGAGCGACCCAAUCAGAUGCUGAGCUGCGGGCUUCUAGCUGGAAUAAUCAGGCUCAUCCACAGCACUGUGGUGCUGAGCGAUGCUACGCAAGCCAGAAGAUGUUUUUGGGUGAAGUCUUGUCAGAUUGUUUUUGAUGCCCUCUUUCUCUCUGCUGGGGAGAGCAGGCUGGCUCCUCUGGUGCCCUCAGGGUGCAGGGGAGCAGUCUGGCUUUGGCAUUUCACACUCGCUCAGCAGUCAAAGCCUGUGACCGUCCGCAGACUUUACCGCCAACUGCUCCCUUGCACCCUCGCCCGCAUGUUGUUUGGCCAAUUACGGAUAUUCAGUUAGUAUGAAAGUAAUUCUGGCAGACAUGCAACUGUCCAGCCAGAUAACGUCACACGUCUGAUUUGAAUACAGGAUAUCAUCAUUUUUUUCUGUCUGCACUUUAUGCACUUCAUACAGAUAUCCAAAUCAAUAAUAAAAAAAAAACUGACAUUAAAAAAAACAACAUUAUUAAGACAUUAAUACAUUUCACAUACAUCUGUGAAUCUGAAUGCAUCUUAUUGUUUCCUGUUUGUCCUUGGAGGGUCCAGUUGUGACUGAUCCAGGAUGAAUGUUAGCAUUGGUCAUAAACAGGCCAUAUAAAACAAACUCUUAAUGGAUUAGUGUUUGGUUUGGGUUAGCCUGGUGUCUUUCAGUCUUUCUUUCACUCCAGAUUGCUUUGCUCCACCCAGCGAUCCUGGAUUAAAUCCAGAAACAGCCUAAAAUGUAAAAUUUUGUUUUUUUUUAACCAUCCCCGACUUAAAACCAUCUUGACAACAAAACUCAGUGAAACUUAUUCUUAGCUUAAAACCAGAAUAAGACAUGAUAUAUGGCUUCCACCACUGUUACUUUAGAUAAGUAUGAUAUAGUCUAACAUGCUCCAUUGUUUUUAUUUUAUAAAAGCAACUACUGAGCCUCUUUUGCAAUCAGUUAUCUCUAAUAAUAUAGGGGAUUAAACAUAAAAUCUAGGUUAAUUUUAUUUCUCGGAGAAAUAAAAUCUACCUAGAGAAUAUUUUAUUACACCAUCUAACAGCCACCAUUUUUUUCUUUAGAAACUUUUAACUUUUGCCAUUUUAGAAAACAUUUAAAGAGAAUAAAGCUGGUUCACUUAUGUUAUCUUAAACAAAAAUCCACAAUUAAUAUUUUUCAAGCGGACAUGAUGCAAAAUGAAAACAUAGAGAAAAAUGUACAUAAUAAAAUUCUAUUUUUACGUUUGAGUAAUUCACUGCUUUUGGUGUAUUCCAGGGCCCAUGAUGCAUCACUACACACAGGUCGCACAUAGUAAUUGCAAUAUUUUUUGUAUUUCUUUUUUUUUCAAAGAAAAUAAUGUCCGUCUUUAAAAACUGCAAACAUACAAAUAAUUUUGGCAAAAUUAUUUUUAGAAGUUUAACUUUGAACUUAGUUUAUAUGUGACAGUCAAUGUAAUUUAAUUUGCAUAAUUUUGGGGGAGAUGGAUAGUCAUUUUUAGGAACAAUACAUAGUGUCAAUAAGCAACAGUUUAACAACAAAAGAAAUUCAUUGCUUUUUAUGUGGACUAUUUAUAAACCUCAAUAUUAAAAAAAUAUAAUGAAAAAAAAAUAUCAUUACCUGUUCUGCAGGUUUCUUAGCUAACCUAUGAAGGGAGACAGAGCAAAUGUUUUGUUUGGCUUCAGCUGUGGUUCGGUACAGAAACUGUAUUUUGGCAAGUAUAAAACAAUAUCUUUUAGAAACAGAUUCAGGACUGGCCAGCCUUUCACUUUAAAAGAAUGAUAUCAUAGCCCCGCUAUGAAAGCUUCACAAGCGUACUCCAAUAUUUCCAUUGUUUUUAGUGUAUUUCAGUUGAAGUGUUGUAGUGCCUGAUAAACACCAUACUGCUGAAAAUGUGCCUUCAUAAGUACACAUAUGAAUUUUGUGGCAUUCCAUUCUUAAUACGUUGUGUUUAAUAUAACAAGCUAUAACAACUUAAUCUCUUCUAGGAAGCAAGAUUUUGUAGGAUUGUGUUUAUACAAAUUUAUGACCAGAUUGUUGGAUUAAAAGCCCUGACUCACAGUAUCUGCUCUAUUUCAUCCCAAAGGUUUUUGAUUAGUUUGAGGUCAGGACUGUGCAGGCCAGUCAAGUUUAUCCACAUCAAACCUGCUCAUCCAUUUUCUUUGUAGACCUUGCUUUGUGCACUGAUGCACAGACAUGUUGGGACAGGAAGGGACCAUCUCUAAACGGCUCCCACAAAGUUGUCCAACUGCUCCCAAAAUUUCAUGACAAGACUUACACUUGUACAAGUGGGAUGCUACCAAUGUACUGUCUUUGAACUCAGCACCUGAGACUGCACAUUCAUUAAAGAAAAUGCUUUCAGAAGAUGUCUGCAUACCCAUUUACUUCAAUCAUUUUGCAUGUGAAAGAAGACAUUUCUAGAAACAAUGAAGCGCUUACGAGAAACAUCCUCAUUUCAUCAUGAGGACUAAGCAUAGAAAGAAAAAGAAGCAGUUCUAUACCUGCACUGUAGUACAUAUUAUUUUAAUGUGUUGAAAACCCUUUGCAACAAGGCAAGUCAAGCACAACAGGUGCACAUAAACACAUGUCGAAAGUUCAUGAGCUAAAUCACAAAAACAGAGGACCAAAAGAAAAAAAAA